rnacentral:rRNA from 1 species
UACGUAGGGUCCGAGCGUUGUCCGGAUUUAUUGGGCGUAAAGAGCUCGUAGGCGGCUCGGUAAGUCGGAUGUGAAAACUCGGGCUCAACCCCGAGACGCCAUCCGAUACUGCUGUGGCUUGAGUCUGGUGAGGGGAGAACGGAAUUCCUGGUGUAGCGGUGAAAUGCGCAGAUAUCAGGAGGAACACCGGUGGCGAAGGCGGUUCUCUGGGCCAGUACUGACGCUGAGGAGCGAAAGCGUGGGUAGCAAACAGG